GCYCCUGUAGUAAAUUUUAUACGCGGCUUUUCGAGCCGUAGUUCUUGGAGAAAGGCCCGGGCAGGAAUU
rnacentral:tRNA from 1 species